GUAGACGACUGGGUUGAUAGGCCGGAUCUGGAAGCCCAGUAAUGGGUGGAGGUGACCGGUACUAAUAGGCCGAGGGCUUGUCCAU
rnacentral:rRNA from 1 species